GGGGGGGGGGGGGGGGGGGCGUGGGGGGGGCGGGGGGGGGGGGGGGGGGGGGGGCUUGCGCCGCGGGCGUUCGCGGGGGGCGGUGGGGUGAACCGUGGGUGCCCUGCCUGUACUGCUGGGAUAACUUCGUGGCCCCGGAGCUGAUACCUGAUAAUAUAUUUACCCGCAUGGUUCAGUCGGGAAAGGCGGUUUUGCUUUCCCUUAUAGAUUGAUCCGAGCCGCAUUCGAUAGUUUUUAAGGUACCGGCUUACCAAGGGGAGGAUGCGUAGGCAACCUGUGAGGGUGAUCGGCCACACUGGAACUGAGACACGGUCCAGACCCCGACGGGAGGCAGCAGUAGGGAAUCUUCCGCAAUGGGCGAAAGCCUGACGGAGCAACGCCGCGUGAGUGAUGAAGGUCUUCGGAUCGUAAAACUCUGUUAUUAGGGAAGAACAAAUGUGUAAGUAACUAUGCACGUCUUGACGGUACCUAAUCAGAAAGCCACGGCUAACUACGUG
rnacentral:rRNA from 1 species